AUGCAGGUGAACGGAAGACGCGCGGACGUCCGGUUUCGGGUGCGCGGCCGAAACUUCCGCGCGCAAAGCUCUAUCCUGGCGGAGCGGUCGCCCGUCUUCGAAGCGCAGCUCUUUGGCCCCAUGGCGGAGAAGGACAUGCGGCACAUCAAGGUUGUCGGCAUGAGGCCAGCCAUCUUCAAGAUGAUGCUUCGCUAUAUCUAUACGGACUCACUGCCGUCAUGCAACGACCAAGGCGGCCGCAGCGCUGCGGUGAUGCAGCGUUUGCUUGUCGCGGCGGACAGGUACGGGCUGGACAGGCUGAAGCUCAUGUGCGAGGAAGAGCUGUGCCGGAGGAUCGACGCACAGACCAUCAUGUUCAUGCACGCGCUCGCAAAUCGGCACCAUUGUCAUCGGCUCAAGCAUGCAUGCCUCCAGUUUCUUACGUGGUCGCCGGAAGUCCUAGGCACCGUCCUUGAGAGUAGCGGGUUCAACGAGCUCUGCAUGACAAAUUACCGACCAUUGCCUCUGGAGGGGGAUCAUGUCCCGGGGACAAAUAAGCUGGUGCGUGUACGGGAGACCAUGUCGUCAAGCAGCUUCAAGGAGCACACGGACACACUCAGUUUGGAGGUGCCCGACUACCUGCAGGUUAAGGACAUGGGCGUCGGCGAGUUCGUUAGCUCGCGCGUCUUCCCGGUCGGUGGCUACGAGUGGGAGAUGAGGUUCUACCCAGGCGGAAAAGACUGGCACUGUGCCGGCAACGCCUCCGCGUACGUGUUCAGCCGCAGCCAAGUCAAGGACGUGAGCACCCGGUUCACGUUGAGCAUGCUGCACACCAAGGGCCAGGUGCAGGUAGCAAGCUUCGACCCGAGGAAGCGCGUCUUCUCGCCAAAAGCAACGAGAUACGACGAGUGA
rnacentral:rRNA from 1 species